CUUUUGGACUCCAUCCUCAUCCAUUACUCCCUCCUUCGUGCGUAGCCUCCCCGAACCCAUCGCCCUUCUGCUUUUCUUCUUCUCCUUCGAACGGCGCCAGCUCCCACCGAGCGAAAUUUCCACCGCCAGCAGCUGCAACUCCUUUCACCCGCGCCAUCUGUCCACAAUCCGGCCUCACUCGGUCAAUCUCAAGCCCACAGAAGCUCUUCCGUUGACCUCGCAGCUUCCUCUUGCCAGCUGCCUUCAUCCGCAUGAUCUUCAGCAGCGCCCGUGUCUUCAUCUUGUCCGGUCGACUACAACAGCCCUCCGUUGAUGCCAGCAUGCCCACACGCCCAUGUCUCUCUCUCCCAGCUCGUCCACAAUCCACCGAUCUUCUCUCUCUCUUCCUGCUCGGUUGUUCUUCGCUGCGGAGACCCCAAGUGAAGAUUUCACCGAAGCCUUGUUGACCGUCAUCUCCACCGAGGCUCUUGGAAACGGCCACGACCACGUUCUUCUUCAAUUUGGUUGAAUCUUUGCCGCGUGUCCUUCCUCUUCGUCCCCUGCAGCACACCAAAGACCAGCUGCUUCGGUCUUCCCCAUCCCACACUCGAGCGACACCAACAGCUCCUGGAUGCUUUGUUGUUCGGCCAGCGAAGCCCGUGUCUUCAGCCCACAAGUCAGCAAUUCGGUCCUUCUUGAAGCCCAACGGUUGACCGUCCAUCUCACUCUAGCGAAGCUUGUCCACCGAGCAGCUCCUUCGGCGUCCAUCUAGUCCACCGCCUCACGCCUGCAGCUGUCCUCGGUUCCACCGAAUUCCUGCAGCUUCUUCGAGUGGCCCACGAACAGUCCACAUGAAGCCCAACGCCAGCAGCCUACCGAAGCAAUGUCACGGCCCAAUUCCACCAGGUGCAGUAGCCCAGCCGUGAGUUUUCAACUGCAGCAGGCCCAUCCAGUUCAGCCCAUCCUUAGUUGUUGUCCAGCUCAUUUGAAGCCCGGCCCAGUUCAGUUUGUUUCAAGCCCAGUCCAGCAGAUUCUUUUAGUGUUCGGUCCAAGCCUAUAAUUUCUUGGCCCUUGCAAAGUUUCUUGGCCCAACCCGAGUGUCUAUCGUCACCGCCGAAAUUUUGGGAUUCGGCCGCCGUUGCGUCGCUGUCGCAGUGUUCCGAUCUUUGCUUUGCCAAGACCCUGAUGAAGAAUCUGAGGAGAAAGAACUCGAAGAGGAGUAUCUGAAGGAGAAUCCCGAGGAUGAUCCAGAGUAGGAUCCUGGUGACUGUUGCUGUAGAAUCUAAUUGAGUAGAAACCAACCUUUUUAGCAUGGUUUGUAUAUGUACAUGUGUGACUGAGUCAUUAUAGAUGUACAAAAGAGUGUUGGUUUUCAGGUUCAAUUUUCUAGUCCUACUUAUAUAUCCCAUUGCUUUAUUGUUUGGGGAUUUUUAUAA